AACGAGCAAGGGAAGGAAAGCGGGGAAGGGAGGAAGGAAACGAACGAGGGGGAGGGAGGUCCCUGUUUUGGAGGAGCUAGGAGCGUUGCCGGCCCCUGAAGUGGAGCGAGAGGGAGGUGCUUCGCCGUUUCUCCUGCCAGGGGAGGUCCCGGCUUCCCGUGGAGGCUCCGGACCAAGCCCCUUCAGCUUCUCCCUCCGGAUCGAUGUGCUGCUGUUAACCCGUGAGGAGGCGGCGGCAGCGGAAGAUGGUGUUGCUGAGAGUGUUAAUUCUGCUCCUCUCCUGGGCGGCGGGGAUGGGAGGUCAGUAUGGGAAUCCUUUAAAUAAAUAUAUCAGACAUUAUGAAGGAUUAUCUUACAAUGUGGAUUCAUUACACCAAAAACACCAGCGUGCCAAAAGAGCAGUCUCACAUGAGGACCAAUUUUUACGUCUAGAUUUCCAUGCCCAUGGAAGGUGAAGAAGGAAGUUUUAGCCAUGGGUCUGUUAUUGAUGGAAGAUUUGAAGGAUUCAUCCAGACUCGUGGUGGCACAUUUUAUGUUGAGCCAGCAGAGAGAUAUAUUAAAGACCGAACUCUGCC
rnacentral:sRNA from 1 species